rnacentral:lncRNA from 1 species
AUAAAAUCACAUAAGAGGGAAGAGAAGAAAGACAAUGAAAAAGAAUCAUGAACUUUUUCAUUUUAUCAUAUGAAAGGUAAAUAUUUUGCCAACUUAUUAUAUUUUUGCCAAUCUUACUAUAUUUAAAAAUAAUUUCAAUUUUUUUUUUUAAACAAUUACUCAAGUCUAUAAUUAAGAAGAGAACAAAAAUGACAUAAAGAAAUUUUUUAAAAAAAAAUAGAAAAGUAGUUUGGGUUUAGGGUUAUAUUUAUAUAUAAAUGUAGAAUUAGUGUUGAGUGCUCAUCCAUCUAAUAUCCUUUAUGGUUACAUUGUGACCACACCAAAAGCAACCCCACAAUUUUAUUUAUUUAUUUUCAUUCUCAACUAUUCUUCUCUCUCUCCAAACACACACACUCUCUCUCUCUCUCUUCUUUUGCCAUUUUUGUUGUGAAAUUUUGCAGGUUAGGUUAUUGUGUGAAGGGAAAAAGGUAAGGUAAGGAUGAUGUUGAGGGUAGUAGUGAACUUGAAAGCAAAAAUAAUGAAGUCAUUGAAGAUGAAGAUGAAGAUGAAAGCAACAAAUUACGAUGCAGAUUAUGAUAAGAUGGAGAAAAGUGAAAGCAUGAGAGUUGAAAUCAGAAGCAGAAAAGCCCAGAAGCUCAUCCAACAGUCCUUGAAAUUUGCUGACUCUCCCUCUUCUAAAACUUAUGCCUUUUGAUUUCUUAUAUAAAUAUCAAUUUUCUUCUCUUAUAUCUCAAUCAAUCCCACCCCCUGCCCUUAAUUUCAUCUAUACCCUUCCCCUCCCUCCCUUCCUUCCUUCAUCACUACAUAAUUAUAUAUGAACAAAAGUAUCUAAUAAUAAAAUAAAAUAACUCACUUUUCCUUAUUCUCUUCUCUUCUUCUUCUUCUUCUUCUUCUUCUCAUCCUCUUUUUCUUUUUUCUAUCGUGGCUGAAACCAUUAAAUUUAUAAUACAUAUUUAUUUCUAUAUAUGAUGAGACUAUGUGUUUUUAUUAUUUUGUUACUUAAAUUAAUGCAAACAAACAUUUAUAGUUGUUUCUUUAUAUUAAUUAACCAUAUGGACAAAAUAUGUGUAUUUUAUUACUCUAUCUAUUUUUCUUAAUUUGAUGAGGGGACAAAUUAGAAAUUAAUGAAAUGUAGUUAAACAUUCUUUCUACCAUUUUUAGUUGGUUAAUUAUAAGAAAAAUUAUGGCCACCACAAUAAAAACAUAGAUUUUCAAAUUGGUUUGUUUUAGAACAAUUUUUUCUUCAAAGGAAGAGAUACUAAGAGAAAAUAUAUGAGAAGAAAAGCAUGAUCUAUCUAAUUAAAUUUGGAACAUAUCAUCUACCUAUUAUUUAAUCAUCUUUUGCAAUCAAUAUAGAUAUUACAUAUACAACUGCUAAGUUUUUUUUUUUUUUCUUUUUUAAAGUUAAAGUUAGGGAAAUGAUAAAUUAAGGAGAUAUAUAUAUAUAUAUAUAUGGUAUGUUAGGAAUGUGUGGUAUAUAAUCAAAAAAGUUUUAUCCAUGAUUUUUGUAUAGGGAAGCAAAAUGAUGUGGAAACAUAUAAAAGAAUAUGGUUGGUAGAAGAAAACUUAUCUCAUCAAAAUUUAAUGGUGUGAUGAAAAUGACAACUUUUAUUUUCUUUUCAGUGGGAUAUUCAAAUCUAUUUAUAUCAUCUUUU